AAAACAGAUGAAUAGUAUUUCUUCAAAAAAUAAAAUAAAAUAAUUUGGAAACACCUAGGCUUCGUUUGGUUCGCGGUUAAGUAAGAACUAGUUAUUUCAGGAAUAGGAUUAAACUCAGGGUUAAGGUAAGGUUAGAGUAAUUUUGUAUUUGGUUGAGAAUUGGAUUUAGUUCAGAUAUAAGUAAAAUAGUGUUUGGUUGGAAUAGGUAGAAUAAAAAGGAUAGAGGGUUAUUAUAAAUAGAAAAUAAUAAUUUUAUCUCAAUUCUUAUAUAU
rnacentral:lncRNA from 1 species